AGCUUGGCGGCGGCGUUCACACGAUCUACGUUCAUCGGCAUCACCAUCAUCAUCGACAUCUCCACGGAGGCCGGCAACGCAGAACGAGGACGACCCCGCCACCGAAUCAGGUUCCGGACCAACCGGCGAACAACGCCGGCACGCGUUCACCACUGUUGGAACCGAGGUUGAGAGGCGCCAAACGCUCCUUCGCUUGUAAUCGUCGAAGCGAAGAAUCUCACGUGUAUCAUCCCAACGUCGAGUACGGGAACCGUCUCGAAGCGACUCUCCAAGUCCAAGAUGAGCAGGCGAGUGCGAGAUUCAAGGGUCAGCUCAUCACGAGCGUGACGAAGGAGUACGCUGGGGUUGAUGAAGCCGACAGGAAAGUGUCGUCGAAGACGACGGCGUCGGUGGCGAUUACAAGAAUUCGGGAGCGAUACCUCUACUACCGCUUUCUCAACUACCGCCUCUAUCUCCCCGGAAACAGCUCUUUUUCCAAACAGCAGGCGUGAAGCUUAACGUUCUUUCGCCGUCCAACGGCGUUCGAUUCGGACCGUAGCUGUUGGCAGUUCCAGCAAACAUCCGGUAGCGUCGAUGGAACCAAACAGCGACGGUGGUCUCGAGCAGGUUCAGUCAACAGCCCGACGACGACCAUUUCGAGCCGAAGCGUCGGCGGAUCGAGUUCGACCUUUCACGACCCGACCAAAGUACCUUUAAAUUUCUUUGAGAAUGAACAGGAACGGUGGUUUCAGCACGCCACGAUCGAGGAUGUGAUCAAGGUGCGGAUGGCGGUGGUUAACUCGUCCGGCAUCGACAAGGCGAUGGCCAUGUACGCCGAGAUUCGUCCAAAGCAGUACUACAAGUUAAGGAAUAAGGAAGAUAGCACGGAAAUUGAGAAUUGAAGCAGCGAAAUGAAUCACCGUUGGUUGUUCCGGAGUUCCUACUGCAGGUUCCAAUCUAGGCUAGCCGGAGCUAGCCAAAGUGGCCCGCUUUGGCUGCUGACGCUGAAUGGACUCAGUAUUAAUUAUGCUAAUCCGUCAAGUCAUUGCCAAAGAAAAGUUGCAUGCCCUCUUCAAGAUCUACAACCAUAGAGAGCGGUCAGAUUCUGGUCCCGGUGCAGAAUUAGGUCAUGCAGAUGUCCCAGAAAAAGCAAGAUGACACGCACCACGCCGACAGAACACGGCCUGUUACACUCAUUCAUGCGGGGAUGCACGAGCCGGAGGACAGCGAUGAAGCUCCAUACGAAUCGGUCAAGUAAGAGGAGAUUCAGGUCGAAGGCAUCUAAGCGGCGCCGUACGAGAACUGUUUUUACCGGGCUGUGGUGCUGGAAAAGACCGUCCCAUCGAAGAUCUCGCUCAAGGUUCGCCUGAUCGAUUAUGACAACGAGUUGGUUAAUGCGUCAACGGAGUAGCGACCACCGCUGCAGAUGAUGAAAAUCUUAGAAGAAUCUGCGCGCGUUUCAGGUGGAGAUCGUCAAUUCCCAUCGCCAUCCGCUCGAGGUCAACGAGCGUAUCCGGAUUCGGAUGAAGAACCCUGCGGGAUUGUUAACCGUGAGC